AGCUUUCUAAAAUCUCUUUAGGGGUGUGCGUAGGCUCGUGUGUCUAUGCCUGCUCUUGACUGCCCAGUUGAAGCCUCUUCCUAUGCCUUUUAAAAUUUCAUACACUAUAAGGAAGAAGAGCUCAGGGCUCCUCAAACUUUUUUGGGGGAGGAAGAAAGCUGGGGAGGUAGGUGCGCAGAGGGUUGUCCAAAUUGGAAGAAAAUACUUGUCCUUUAGUUUGAUGUUAGAAAAGGGAAUUUUCCAAUCAGCCACACCUCAGUGUUGCGGCAAAAUAAUUCUUGGCUUCCCUGGAAACACACGGGCAAGGUAGGGCAGAACUGCUGCCGAUAUUGCCACCACCCUGGGCUUCCUGCUGACUCUGGGCUACUCCCUGGGGACAAGAGAUUUGCAUUGACGUCGGGGCUGUCCUGAGGCCCUCAGGAGGCCUGUCGAGAGCUGAGCCCUGUAUGGGAAAGUCCUACCUUCUGGAAGCUGCUGCUGGCUACCUGGUACUUGGAAAGAUGACUCAGUGUAUCGGGAGCCGGGAGAUGGAGCUCUCAGCUGAGUGGCCAGGAUGUUCUGUCAACAUGAAAGCAGCAAUAACAGCUUGGGGCUCUGAGCCGAUCCUCAGCCCGGGGUCAUUUUCAGGGAGGGCUGGGGCAGAGAAGACCACUGCUGGGCAUCAGGAUGGGGGCGACACCGGAGCACUCAGGAGAGUGAAGCUUGCUCCGUGAGUGGGUGACAACCUCUUGGCAAUUCAGGCUUAGCUGAGGAUGGUGCCAGUGUGUUGAAGACAGCCGUCACACUGCUGGAUAGAGUGGCUCACUUGCAUUUAUUUGGAACAAAAAAAGGAGAUGCCUGGCAGUCCUGCUCUCUGCAGUGCUGUGGAGCCGCCAGUUUGUGUGGUUUCAUGGGACCACAAAUGCUGAUUGAUGUGACACGAUUCCAGUUUUGUCAGUGAGUCAUCACCAGGCUGCUUACUGGGAACCAGAUGCAGCAAGGAAAGUAGGAUUUAACCCCUUCCCUGCCCCCCAGGAACCCUGAAACCAGCAUUCCCAGAGGUGAGAAGAUGAACCAUCUGGGCUCAGCUUCCGGCACCCUCCCCCAUCUGGCUGGAACUUGCAUCAGUCACCCUUGUGUUAGUAACCACCUCUGUGCCUUUCUAAUGGAGCAUUCUGUCAUGUCACAAGUAGUAGACAUUUUUCCUCAGGACAGAGGCGGGGUCUUCCCAUCACAUCUUUCUUCAGUGAGAUCCUCUUCUUCUGGAAGCUGGUUUCACAUGGUGGCUUAGAUUUUUCCAUCUUUGUAUCUAGCACCAUUUGAAAUCAGUGUUUUAGGAGUAAGAAUUGCAGCGCAGCAAAGGGCGGACUGCAGAGACACUGUUGCUCAUGGACUGACUCCUCUUCUCUUGCUGCUUGAGCCUGUUCAAGAGGGCGAGAGAAGAACUUGAAGAGCAAAAUACACUCUUGAGUAUGUUGGGCUUUUGGAGGGGUAACAGGGUGGGGAGGGCCUUGUGUUUAAAAUGAACACAGUGACUUGAGCAGGGGCAGAGGGUGAGAUGCUCUUUCUGUUGAUUGCUUGCAACCGUCACCAGUGUGAACAUGUUGUGUUGUUCCGUUGGGUAAUGAUGUAUUGGGUAUUGAUUGUAACGGGGCAGGGGAGAGGGCUUUACACCUGGAGGACCGUUUCAACCACAUCGACACUGUCCGCCUACUCCUAGAGAUGCCCUGGAGUAUUCGGCGUCGGUUGCAGGGCAGCUGAACUCAGACUUGCCACCUGCACUGUCGAGGUGCGGACCCUAGGAGCACCACUGGCCCAUCUCUUACACAGGCUGACCGAUUUCUCCUGGUGUUCAGAGUCUGUUUUUGUCUAGCACCAUUUGAAAUCGGUUAUGAUGUAGGGGGAAAAGCAGCAGCCUCGAAGCCUCAUGCCAAGUCUGGGCAGCAACAGCCUGUGGUUUCCUGGAAGAUGGAUGGGCAGAGAGUGGGGAAGGAAGAUCACACUUUUCCCUACUAACUUCUUUAACUGCAUUUAUGAUACAUUAUUGCAGAGGUAAGAGAUAAUUUAAUGGAUUUUUAAAAAAACAGAUUACUCGAAUUUAUCUGAUGUCCUCAGUUGCAUUUUGCUGAAAUGUAGUACUGCUGUAAAUUCUAUAAAUUGGUUGCUGUUGAAUUAUCUUUCUGUUGAGAAGAGUCUAUUCAUGCAUCCUGACCUUAAUAAAUACUUUACUGUAUUCAAUUUAUCA